UACGAAGGGGGCUAGCGUUGCUCGGAAUGACUGGGCGUAAAGGGCGCGUAGGCGGUUUGGACAGUCAGGCGUGAAAUUCCUGGGCUUAACCUGGGGGCUGCGCUUGAUACAUCCAGACUUGAGUGGGGAAGAGGGUCGUGGAAUUCCCAGUGUAGAGGUGAAAUUCGUAGAUAUUGGGGAAGAACACCCGGUGGCGAAAGCGGCUCUCGUGGAACGGUACUGACGCAUGAGACGGCG
rnacentral:rRNA from 1 species